UACAGAGGGUGCGAGCGUUGUCCGGAAUCACUGGGCGUAAAGGGCGCGUAGGCGGCCUGGUAAGUAGGGGGUGAAAUCCUGCGGCUCAACCGCAGGGCUGCCUUCUAAACUGUCAGGCUGGAGCACGGUAGAGGCAGAUGGAAUUCCCGGUGUAGCGGUGGAAUGCGUAGAGAUCGGGAAGAACACCAGUGGCGAAGGCGGUCUGCUGGGCCGCUCCUGACACUGAAACACGAAAGCGUGGGUCGCGAAUGGG
rnacentral:rRNA from 1 species